rnacentral:rRNA from 1 species
GGGAUGAAGCUCAAAUUUAAAAUCUGGCGUCUUUCAGGCGUCCGAGUUGUAAUCUAUAGAGGCGUUUUCCGCGCCGGACCGCGUCCAAGUCUCUUGGAAUAGAGUAUCAAAGAGGGUGACAAUCCCGUACUUGACGCGACAACCGGUGCUCUGUGAUACGUUCUCAAUGAGUCGAGUUGUUUGGGAAUGCAGCUCUAAAUGGGUGGUAAAUUCCAUCUAAGGCUAAAUAUUGGCGAGAGACCGAUAGCGAACAAGUACCGUGAGGGAAAGAUGAAAAGCACUUUGGAAAGAGAGUUAAACAGCACGUGAAAUUGUUAAAAGGGAAACGAUUGAAGUCAGUCGUGUGAAAGGUAUUCAGCCGUCUCUGGCGGUGUAUUUGCCUUUCACGGGUCAACAUCAGUUUGAUCCGGUAGAAAAAGGCGGGAGGAAGGUGGCACCCUCGGGUGUGUUAUAGCCUCCUGUCAUAUGUGCCGGACCAGACUGAGGAACGCAGCUUGCCGCAAGGCCGGGGUUCGCCCACGUACAAGCUUAGGAUGUUGACAUAAUGGCUUUAAACGACCCGUCU